UAGGACAAGGGGUAACGGGUUAAAACUUAAACAGGGGAAGUUUAGAUUGGAUAUAAGGAAGAAGUUCUUUCCUGUUAGGGUGGUGAGGCACUGGAAUGGGUUGCCCAGGGAAUUCCGAAUGCUCCAUCCCUGGCAGUGUUCAAGGCCAGGCUUGACAGAGCCUUAGCCUUGGGUGGCAUGGUUUAGUGUGAGGUGUC